CAACAUUUGCCAAAAGAGCAACACGCAAACUGCUUAGAGCGGAAAAAUAAAGUUCAGUGAAACCAGUACUGGCUAAAAGUUUCAAUGAAAAUUUAAACAAGCCACUAAUAAAACCGAAUGCAAUGCAAUUAACGCCAAAUGCUAAAUGAAAAUGUGAAAAGAAAAGCGCAGAAAGUGUGAGGUCGGAAGAGGAAAACUGUUUUAAGAGCAGAACUUUUGUGCAAGAAAACUAUGUUCAAUAAACUGUGAAUAAUCCCAGAAUUAGCUUCCUGUGAAAAGUGGAUUCGGUUCCAUUCUAUUGCUUAAUGUUCACAUUAUAAUAUGCAAAUUAAUUUCAAUUGGUUUGCACUCUGGACUCUGCUGCUGUUUCUGCUGUUGCGACUGUUGCGGCUGUUGCGGCUGUUGCUGCUGUUGCUACUGCUGUUUUGUUGCUCUUGGUCGCGGUAGUAAUAUAGUAUUCGUCGUACUACUACUACUACUACUACUACUACUUCUGCCACUAUCACUAUUGCUAACUUCAAUCCACGUCCUUCCGGUUUUCGUAAACACAAAUUCGCCAACAGAGUUUUACCAGCACCAAUGUCACUACACCAGUCCAUUUUCAUUUCCGUUUCCCCGGUUAAAAACUAUGAUAAUUGUUUCCGAAGAAUUUAUAAUCAUACGAGAACGUAGCUUACAAAAAGGACGAGCUCAUGGUAAGCUUUACGUGGAAAAGUAAUUAAAAAGCAAGGGAAGCUUGUGCUUAUGGCAGAUAGGGUAUCCGGAAACUAUCUCGAUGAUGCCAAUUACAAGUCGUUUGAGCUCACCGUUCGGUGGGAAAUUUUUUAUAUAGUUCAUCCAACUUGAUUAAAACUUUAGUCUGGCACUUCAUCAUUGGGAAAUGCCCGACAUUUAACUUAAUUGUCGAUGCAGUUUCUCAAACAGAUUGUGAUUGAUGCAAUUAGCUGACCAGUUAAAGAUGUAUCACCCACUUUUUCAAACGACUGGACUGGGUUUGAGAAUGGUACUGGGAGCGGUGGUGGGGAGUUCCGCAAUAAUGGGAAACCUCUGACAGACCAGACAGCCAGUAGUCCAUGUGAGCCAGGACUGCGGCGGUAGUUGCACAAUUUUGCACAAAAGCAAAAGUAUAAUCAUGAAUAAUGAGCGUUUGUGAAAAGUUAUAAAUGCCCGGUGGCAAAGGCACAGGGAAUUUAAAUAAGAUGGAAAUUGUAUUCAUCGGGACGGCCAGGAAAAACUUUUAAAAUUGAUCGAUUUUACAAAAUUUGAAUAAUAAGAUUUUCGGGUCGGAUGUCAGUUGUGUACAUAAGGCUCUACCAAAUUCUUCGUCGAAUUGCUGGCGGAUCAUCACAAUCCGGCAUCUCAAGGCAUCUCAUCCUUUACAAGGAUCUUGAGUGGGUACUAGCGUGCAGGACCAUAAAGCUGCUUGUAGAUCUUCGAGUGAAUAGGCAAUCGAACCACGGAGGAUUUUUCUGAAGAUCAUUAAGUGAAGAAAGUCCGUUCGAUCUUCAACUGUAUUUUCAAGGUUUAUACGUACAUAUUAAAAGAACAGGCAUCUCAUCGGGCAGCCCACACCACGAGACGUUAAAAUUUGACUUCCCGCUUACUGCAGACGUAAUCAAAAUAUGAUUUUCGAUGCUUUCGCGGCCAAUUUAAGUACGAUUGAAACAUUGGAUUUAUCCGAAUUAGAAAGCCCACGAUUCGAAGAUAUUUCCAAAGUAACCGAAAUUCAAACCAUUCGGUCACUUCGAUGCUGCGUAUUAGAUGUGACUGGUGUUCAGAAAUGGGCAAAUCUCAACAAAUUAGAGAUUUCGGAAAUAUUCCAUUCUGGAACUUUUUACCAAACUUGCUAAGAAAAAUACAAUUAAAUGUAUAAGUACAGGAAAACUCACCAUCGAAGAGGUUUUAAAGAUAACCCAAAUUAAGUCGAUAAAAACUUUGGUGUGUCGUUUAUGGAACAAGAAUAACCUCAAAUUCUUCGCAGAGCUAGCAAACUCAAGUAUCGAAGAGUUAAUUAUUCUCGAAUAUAAUAAUUCAAUAUGGGUUACAAUUUCUCUGUUGCCUAUGAUAAGGGAAAGUCACAAGACUUUGAUAUAUGGCCCAAAAAACAUAAUUUUUUUAAAACGGUGGAAGUUACUAAAAUAACAGGAUUGAAAAAGUUUUGUGCUGGUUUUAUUGAAGCGGAGUGUGCGCAAAUAUUAGAUAGACAACCUCACCUAGAGGAUUUAACUGUUGGCUUUACUAACACAACUAAUUUCGAAAAUCCUCUAAGGGUUCUAAACUCAAGUCACCAUCGACUCUCAAAAAAUUGGAGCUAUGCAACUGGAUUGGUGGCAGCGAAUGUGUAUGUUUGACUCAAUUCUAAACAUUGGAAUCUUUAACAUGUUCAUUGCGUAAUGAGACGGGCAUAUAUCUUUUAGACAAUAUACAAAACCCUAAAGAAUUACUAUUCCACCGUAUAAGCGCUUCCCUUCCUAAUCUUUUCCGUACCUUUACCCAAAAAAGUGAUUCCAAGUUGGAGAACCUUCAAGCUCCUGUCACAUGUUCUAGUGAAAUUCGGGAACUAUCACAGAUAAAGUCACUAAAAACGCUAAAUAUACGAAAAAACAUGGGUGAUUACGAAGUGGAAUCUAAAUCUGAUAACGAGGAUUUAGACGAUUCGGAUUCGUUUGUCUUUAAUUUUGAUUACGAGGAUUCAGACGGUUCGGCUUAUUUUGACUAUGUAUAGUUAACAACUAAUUUUUAGAAAAUAAACACACAAAAUCUGAUUAAAAAAAAAAACAGAGAGAACGCUAUAGUCGAGUUCCCCGAAUAUCAGCUACCGCUUACUCAGCUGGUGAAAGUGCGGAUGAAAGAUGUCAACAUUUUUCUGACGUUUCGAUUAAAAUUGGAAAAAUCAAUACAAAAGUAUUUUUG